rnacentral:rRNA from 1 species
AUUGAACGCUGGCGGAAUGCUUUACACAUGCAAGUCGAACGGCAGCACGGACUUCGGUCUGGUGGCGAGUGGCGAACGGGUGAGUAAUACAUCGGAAUGUGCCCAAUCGUGGGGGAUAACGUAGCGAAAGCUACGCUAAUACCGCAUACGAUCUAAGGAUGAAAGCGGGGGAUCGCAAGACCUCGCGCGAUUGGAGCGGCCGAUGGCAGAUUAGGUAGUUGGUAGGGUAAAGGCCUACCAAGCCGACGAUCUGUAGCUGGUCUGAGAGGAUGAUCAGCCACACUGGAACUGAGACACGGUCCAGACUCCUACGGGAGGCAGCAGUGGGGAAUUUUGGACAAUGGGCGAAAGCCUGAUCCAGCCAUUCCGCGUGCAGGAUGAAGGCCCUCGGGUUGUAAACUGCUUUUGUACAGAACGAAGAGGUUUCUACUAAUACUAGGAGCUCAUGACGGUACUGUAAGAAUAAGCACCGGCUAACUACGUGCCAGCAGCCGCGGUAA